GAUGAACGCUGGCGGCGUGCCUAAUACAUGCAAGUCGAGCGAACAGACGAGGAGCUUGCUCCUCUGACGUUAGCGGCGGACGGGUGAGUAACACGUGGAUAACCUACCUAUAAGACUGGGAUAACUUCGGGAAACCGGAGCUAAUACCGGAUAAUAUAUUGAACCGCAUGGUUCAAUAGUGAAAGACGGUUUUGCUGUCACUUAUAGAUGGAUCCGCGCCGCAUUAGCUAGUUGGUAAGGUAACGGCUUACCAAGGCAAGGAUGCGUAGCCGACCGGAGAGGGUGAUCGGCCACACUGGAACUGAGACACGGUCCAGACUCCUACGGGAGGCAGCAGUAGGGAAUCUUCCGCAAUGGGCGAAAGCCUGACGGAGCAACGCCGCGUGAGUGAUGAAGGUCUUCGGAUCGUAAAACUCUGUUAUUAGGGAAGAACAAACGUGUAAGUAACUAUGCACGUCUUGACGGUACCUAAUCAGAAAGCCACGGCUAACUACGUG
rnacentral:rRNA from 1 species